rnacentral:rRNA from 1 species
AGUGAACGCUGGCGGUAGGCCUAACACAUGCGAGUCGAACGGCAGCACAGUAAGAGCUUGCUCUUACGGGUGGCGAGUGGCGGACGGGUGAGGAAUACAUCGGAAUCUACUUUUUCGUGGGGGAUAACGUAGGGAAACUUACGCUAAUACCGCAUACGACCUACGGGUGAAAGCAGGGGAUCUUCGGACCUUGCGCGAUUGAAUGAGCCGAUGUCGGAUUAGCUAGUUGGCGGGGUAAAGGCCCACCAAGGCGACGAUCCGUAGCUGGUCUGAGAGGAUGAUCAGCCACACUGGAACUGAGACACGGUCCAGACUCCUACGGGAGGCAGCAGUGGGGAAUAUUGGACAAUGGGCGAAAGCCUGAUCCAGCCAUACCGCGUGGGUGAAGAAGGCCUUCGGGUUGUAAAGCCCUUUUGUUGGGAAAGAAAAGCAGCAGGUUAAUACCCCGCUGUUCUGACGGUACCCAAAGAAUAAGCACCGGCUAACUUCGUG